UAGGGAAUCUUCGGCAAUGGACGAAAGUCUGACCGAGCAACGCCGCGUGAGUGAAGAAGGUUUUCGGAUCGUAAAACUCUGUUGUUAGAGAAGAACAAGGACGUUAGUAACUGAACGUCCCCUGACGGUAUCUAACCAGAAAGCCACGGCUAACUACGUGCCAGCAGCCGCGGUAAUACGUAGGUGGCAAGCGUUGUCCGGAUUUAUUGGGCGUAAAGCGAGCGCAGGCGGUUUCUUAAGUCUGAUGUGAAAGCCCCCGGCUCAACCGGGGAGGGUCAUUGGAAACUGGGGGACUGGAGGGCAGAAGAGGAGAGUGGAAUUCCAUGUGUAGCGGUGAAAUGCGUAGAUAUAUGGAGGAACACCAGUGGCGAAGGCGGCUCUCUGGUCUGUAACUGACGCUGAGGCUCGAAAGCGUGGGGAGCAAACAGG
rnacentral:rRNA from 1 species